rfam:Kordia algicida OT-1 1103813601120 genomic scaffold, whole genome shotgun sequence.
CAGGCGGAAUCUGAAAAGCCUUAACAGAGUAAGAA